GAAUGAAGAACGUAGCGAAAUGCGAUAAGUAGUGUGAAUUGCAGAAUUCAGUGAAUCAUCGAAUCUUUGAACGCACAUUGCGCCCCCUGGCAUUCCGGGGGGCAUGCCUGUUCGAGCGUCAUCAAAACCAUUCGAGACUGGGGUUGAAACCCCCGGCUCGGUCUUGGGCAUGAGGGAUCAAAACCCUCGGCCUGCAAUCCAGCGGCAGACUCCCAGCGUAGCAGUAGCGUGAUAGAAUCGUCAAUCGCAGAUGCGCGACGGCGACGUCUAGCCAUAACCCCCAAAUCUGUCAUCAAUUUUGACCUCGGAUCAGGUAGGGAUACCCGCUGAACUUAAGCAUAUCAAUAAGCGGAGGA
rnacentral:misc_RNA from 1 species